GCCUACUCUGAUUGGGUUUUAUUUUCAUGCUCUGAUUGGCUGGCCUCAGACUUGUUUUCAUCCAAUGAGACUGUGUAGUUCAGGAACCUCUGUGCAUAACCUCAGUAUAUAAAUGGCUCUGUUGGGCAGGCACUCCAUUCUAGGCUUUUCUGUGUCUGUCGGCUGUGCUCCUCGGUGCUGGGCUUAGAGGAGUAGAAGACGGGAGAGCCAGCUGCCGCCUGCUGGAAGCUGGAGUCUGCAGUACUGCGGUUCGGUUCGCCUUGCUGCAGCUCACCUCACUGUGGUUGGCGGUAGCCACGGACGCAUGCCCCUGGAGCGACUUUACCUUGUGGGUUCACAGGGGAGACUACUGUUGCUAAACCCUGCUGAGCGUCAUUUCUGGUGGGCAGAGUUGACAAGCCACCUGCUUCUUCACUACUCCUGACUCAUCUCUGCAGAGCAGACACACCUCACUUUUUGGGCAUCACUGAAGAAUGUUCUGACUUUACCUUUUGGGUUCAGAGGGGAGACUGCUGUUGCUAAGCCCUGCUGAGCAUCAUUUCUGGUGUGGCAGAGUUGACAAGCCACCUGCUUCUUGACUACUCUUGAC